rnacentral:rRNA from 1 species
AUGGAGAAGAUGAUGCUGCAGCAGGAGCAGGAGGCGCGGCCGCCCGCGUCCACGUGCCCGCCGUGGCUCCAGGCGGCCAUCGCAGACAUCGAGCAGCGCGUGCGCGCGCUGGCGGCCGGCGCGCCGGACGACGACGCGGCGGCGGCGGCCGCAGACCACUCGUUCGCCGAGCGCGCCGAGAACUACUACCAUCGCCGCCCGCAGCUGCUCGCGCUCCUCACCGACCUCCACCACCGCUACCUCUACCUCGCCGACCGCUACGCCCAAUCCCUCCUCGCCAACGCCAAGUCCUACUCCCACCACCUCAACCUCAACCUGAUCAGCUCCGACUGCUCCUCCGACCUCGACGACCGCUCCUCCGACGCCGGCAGCUCCCUCUCCUUCCAGCCCCAACUCGGAAUCGCCGAUGAUCGCUUCCCCGUUCCAGCUGCUGCUCCGGCGGUGGACGGCGAGCUGGUGGUGGCGGAGCUGGUGAUGGCGUGGGUGGACCGGGACGUGCUGGCGGACGAGGCGGACCGCCGGAGGGCCGAGUCGGCGCGCAAGAUCGACCUGCAGGGGAGCCUGCUGGAGGUGCUCGAGUCCGAGCGACUGGUCCUGCUGGGCGAGAACGCGCGCCUGGCCUUCCGCGCCUCGGCCGCCGAGGAGGAGGCUGCGGCGGCGGCUACCGAGCUCGGCUACACGCGGCGCCGCGCGGCGGACAUGGCCCGGCUGGCCGUGAAGCUGCGGGACGACCACCGGGCGUGCAUCCUCGGGCGGAAGGUGGAGGCGCUGCAGGCGCAGGUGUAUGGGCUGGAGCUCCGCAACCGGGAGUGCUUCGAGGCCAUGGCCGCCUGGGAGGCCGAGAGGAAGGCCGGCGUCGCCGAGAUCGAACGCCUCCGCGCCGAGAACCGCCGCCUCGCCGCCGAGGCCGCGCAGGCGUCGGCGAGGAGGAAGCGUGGGGGCGGCAAGGGUGGCGGGAGCGGUUGGUGGUGGCUGGCGAGGGUGCGGCUGGCGGCCGAGUGGACGCCGUGCGCGCCGUCGUCGGUGACGGUGAGGAAGGUCGGCGAGCAGAUGAAGGGCGGCAAGUACAACGGCGGCUGCUUCUGCCUGUAG